GUAGAGUAGCAAUACUCGAGAGUGGCGAACGGGUGAGUAAUAUAUCGGAACGUGCCCAGUCGUGGGGGAUAACGUAGAGAAAUUUACGCUAAUACCGCAUACGAUCUAAGGAUGAAAGCGGGGGAUCGCAAGACCUCGCGCGAUUGGAGCGGCUGAUAUCAGAUUAGGUUGUUGGUGAGGUAAAAGCUCACCAAGCCGACGAUCUGUAGCUGGUUUGAGAGAACGACCAGCCACACUGGGACUGAGACACGGCCCAGACUCCUACGGGAGGCAGCAGUGGGGAAUUUUGGACAAUGGGCGAAAGCCUGAUCCAGCAAUGCCGCGUGCAGGAAGAAGGCCUUCGGGUUGUAAACUGCUUUUGUACGGAACGAAACGGUCUGCUUUAAUACAGUGGGCUAAUGACGGUACCGUAAGAAUAAGCACCGGCUAACUACGUGCCAGCAGCCGCGGUAAUACGUAGGGUGCGAGCGUUAAUCGGAAUUACUGGGCGUAAAGCGUGCGCAGGCGGUUAUAUAAGACAGUUGUGAAAUCCCCGGGCUCAACCUGGGAAUUGCAUCUGUGACUGUAUAGCUAGAGUACGGUAGAGGGGGAUGGAAUUCCGCGUGUANCNNNGAAAUGCGUAAAUNUGCGGAGGAACACCGAUGGCGAAGGCAAUCCCCUGGACCUGUUACUGACGCUCAUGCACGAAAGCGUGGGGAGCAAACAGGAUUANAUACCCUGCUANUCCACGCCCUAAAC
rnacentral:rRNA from 1 species